AUGGUGGCACUUUUCGGUGUCGUUCCCUUGUUGAAGGCAUCACUGUUGAGAAGUUCCAGGCCACUAUCUGCUAUCUCCGAGGGAAACCCUAGAUCAGUAGAUCAGAUGACGGCGACAUUAUUGUGUCGUUUUCCUCUUGUGGCGUCUUUCUUGGAGGUGUACACGGGUUCGAGGGACCAGUGGACAGAAUAUUUGGUGGAGCGGUGCUUCAUCCUGCACAUUAAUGGUGGCGUUUCUCGGCGGCGUGGCGUGGUGGAGACUCAGCGCCGGAUGUGUGGCGAGGGACUCGCGCAGAAAGGUGCCGUUAUCAAGCGCCGUGGUGGUGUCGAUGGCAGAGAGGCCGGGCAAGGUGGUGUAGCAGUACACACUGAAGAUGAAUUGGAGGCAGGUGGCUGCCGCGGUCUCAUACGCGGCAGGCGCCCUGGUUGA
rnacentral:rRNA from 1 species